rnacentral:rRNA from 1 species
GUAGGGAAUAUUGCGCAAUGGACGAAAGUCUGACGCAGCGACGCCGCGUGAGUGAUGAAGGCCUUAGGGUCGUAAGGCUCUGUUGAAUGGGAAGAAAAAAAUGACGGUACCAUUCGAGGAAGGACCGGCUAACUUCGUGCCAGCAGCCGCGGUAAUACGAGGGGUCCUAGCGUUGUUCGGAAUCAUUGGGCGUAAAGGGUGUGUAGGUGGCCAUGUAAGUCAGGUGUGAAAGCCCCGGGCUCAACCCGGGAAGUGCACUUGAUACUGCGUGGCUUGAGUACCGAAGAGGGUAGUGGAAUUCCAGGUGUAGUGGUGAAAUACGUAGAUAUCUGGAGGAACACCGGUGGCGAAGGCGGCUACCUGGUCGAGUACUGACACUGAGACACGAAAGCAUGGGGAUCAAACAGGAUUAGAAACCCCAGUAGUCC